rnacentral:rRNA from 1 species
ACGUCAAGUCCGCAUGGCUCUUACGAGGUGGGCCACAAACGUACUACAAUGGUGCUUACAAAGGGCAGCGACACCGCAAGGUGGAGCAAAUCCUUAAAAAGCAUCUCAGUUCAGAUUGUCCUCUGCAACUCGAGGGCAUGAAGUCGGAAUUACUAGUAAUCGCAGAUCAGCAUGCUGCGGUGAAUGCGUUCUCGGGUCUU